GUUGUUGCAGUUAAAAAGCUCGUAGUUGAAUUUCGGGAUCAAUGUUUCGGUCAUGCCGUUGGUAUGUACUGAUAUUAUUGGUUUCUCACCUUCUAAAGAACCGUAAUGCCAUUAAUUUGGUGUCACGGGGAAUUAGGACUGUUACCUUGAAAAAAUUAGAGUGUUUAAAGCAGGCUCACGCUUGAAUACAUUAGCAUGGAAUAAUGAAAUAGGACAUCCGAUUCUAUUUUGUUGGUUUCUAGGAUCGAUGUAAUGAUUAAUAGGGAUAGUUGGGGGCAUUAGUAUUCAAUUGUCAGAGGUGAAAUUCUUGGAUUUAUUGAAGACUAACUACUGCGAAAGCAUUUGCCAAGGAUGUUUUCAUUAAUCAAGAACGAAAGCUAGGGGAUCGAAGACGAUCAGAUACCGUCGUAGUCUUAACCAUAAACUAUGCCGACUAGGGAUCGGAUGAUGUUAAUUUUUUAAUGACUCAUUCGGCGCCUUACGGGAAAC
rnacentral:rRNA from 1 species